AAGUAAAUGCUUGUCUAAAAGAUUAAGCCAUGCAAGUGUAAGUAUAAGUCCUAGUACGACGAAACUGCAGACGGCUCCAUUAGCAGUUAUAAUUUAUUUGAUUAUGGAUGCUUACCUUAUUGCUAUACUUGGAGAUGAAGGCGGCCCUGUGUCGCCGUUAAACGAAAAGUAUAAAGGGCAUUAUUAAACGGAUAACCUUGAUAAAUUGUGGCUAAUACGUGCUAACUAAGCUUUACCCUGAGUGAAGGGUGAAGGCUUUGUACUUGUUAGUUUAUUAAAUAAAGGUUGAUAAACCAACUUUAAAAGAAAUAGAACUAAGUGAAAGUUAACAAUUUAUCGAAUCUGUUAAAGGACCAAAGACGACAGUCUUUUUCAUUGCGCCGGCGUCAAAMCCGGUGCAGUUUUGACCUGCUAUUCCUAGAAUUGUCAGGUUGAGAGUCCUUUAAAGUCAAUCAGAUGUUUCAUUCAAAUUUCUGGUCUAUCAAUUAGAAGCUAGGGUAGUUGCCUAGCUUGAUAAUAACGGAUCCGGGGAAUUAGGGUUCGAUACCGGAGAAGGAGCCUGAGAGACGGCUCCUGUUGCUACGGUGAACAGCAGGCGCGAAACUUUCCCAAAUUUUGACUUAAAGAGGAAGUGACAAGAAAUAUUAACGCGGUCAGCUUUCAUGUUGACUGUACUGUUAAAAUGAGGACAAGUUAAAAUUCUUACCGAUUAACAAUUAGAGGGCAAGUUCUGGUGCCAGCAGCCGCGGUAAUUCCAGCUCUAAGGGUUCGUUUAUUUUAGUUGUUGUAGUUAAAACGCUCGUAGUUGGAACUUUUUUCAAUUUAUGAUCUUAAAUCAUUUAAGAGACUUAAAUGAAACUAAGAGAAGAAGAGCUUUUUAUCUCCUCUUUUCACGAAGUUGAGACUCUUCUCUUUUAUUACUGUGAACAAAAUUUAGUGUUCAAAGCAAGCUAUUGUUAUCUAAACACUUGUAGACACAUGGAGUGAUAUUUUGUGGAUUCAUUUCCUCCGCUCUAGUCUAUAACGUGGCUCUGAGAAAAUUAGCAUGGAAUAAUGGAAUAAGACCUUUUUGGGUUUUUGUUUAUGUUUGGUUUUUGACCUUUUCUCCCAAUAGGUAAUGAUUAAAAGGGACAGAUUUCAGGACUUUUUCUCGCACUUGAACUUAUGGUUACACAUGAUCAUGUCUUCGGAUGUGUGAUUUGCGUCAUUCGGGAUAUGCGGGUUAUAUAUUGAUUCUGAAUUUUAUCGGGGGCGUUAAUAUUCAACGGGGAGAGGUGAAAUUCAGUGAUCCGUUGAGGAUUAACAGGAGCGAAAGCGUUCGCCAAGGAUGUUUUCAUUAAUCAAGAACGAAAGUUAGGGGAUCGAAGACGAUCAGACACCGUCGUAGUCCUAUUUUACCGUAAACGAUCUCGACUAAGGAUUGGGUCUCAGAGGAUCUCGCUUUGGCCUUUAAAGCUAUCACACGAUGUGUUUGUCCGGCUAGUCAUUUUCUUGGCUGAAGGACGCACUGACUGUGUUUAUCGGCCGCGAGCCUCUAUUUGACAGGGUAAUUCAGGGGACCUGGCCUUGUGCCACGGCUCCCCAAUAAAGGUUACCUUAUGGAAGACUCAGGACUUGAAGGAGAAAUCAUUAAGUGAACGGAGUCUAGGGGGAAGUAUUAACGCAAGUUUGAAACUUAAAGGAAUUGACGGAAGAGCACACAAUAAGUGGAGCUUGUGGCUUCUAAUUUGACUCAACGCGGGAAAACUUACCAGAUCCGGAUUGGAUUAGGAUUGACAGAUUGACAGCUCUUUCAUGAUUUUCAAAGUGGUGGUGCAUGGCCGUUCUUGGUUGGUGAAGUGAUUUGUCUGUGUUAAUUCCGAUAACGAACGAGACCUUGACUUACAUGUUUAAAUCUGCAUGAUACUAAUUUCCUACUUAUGGUGUUCCUUUUCUUUUAAAGGCUUCACCUUGGAAACUCAUGUAUGUGCAUUUCGUAUUUACUUGUGCAUGGCUUUUUUUAAAACCGUGUUCAAUUGCGGAUUGUAUUUAACCUUGAAGGACGAUUCAUUUAUUAUAGUGAAAGGAAGAGCGAGGCAAUAACAGGUCUGAGAUGCCCUUUGAUGUUCUGGGCUGCACACGUGCUACAAUGAUAGUGGUAACGAGCUUCUUUUAUUAGUAAGUGCGCUAUGGCAUUUGGAUUCGUUCAUCUGCUUGCACUUCGAUGAUAAAAGCCUUGCCUGAAAAGGCUGGGAAAACUUUUGAAUCACUAUCUUACUUGGAAUAGGUUAUUGUAAUUAUUGACCUUGAACGAGGAAUUUUUAGUAAGCGCAAGUCAUUAUCUUGCGCUGAUUAAGUCCCUGCUCUUUGUACACACCGCCCGUCGCUUGCCGUGAUGAAGGAACUAGUUAAUUGAGUAGAUUUGGCCAGCUGUAGCUCUUCGGAGUGUGCUGGAGGGAGAAGCUUAAUGUACUAUUUUCUUUAAAAUGGGAAGAAGUCGUAACAAGGUAUCU
rnacentral:rRNA from 1 species